CUGCGUCGCGCGGGGCUCUUAGCAGACCGGUUCGGAGUGGCGGAGCGGCUGUGGGACGACUUCAGCGCUCUGCAUUCUGGGGAGACAACCACACUCAGGGUCACUGUCGAAUAUAUUAACCUUCCUCUAUCAACACAACUUCUCCUCUCUUCUCAGUCGGAGUUUAAGUGGCAUAAAAAUUAUGCCCGGCAAGCUGCUGCACAGGGAGGAGCGCGGCCCACAGAUCCGACCGAUUUUACUUCUCCACCCACGACCCACCCCUGGAGAUGGAAAUAGGAGUUACUUUUAAAAUAUGGUGGAAAGAAUACAUGGGUUACUGAACAAAUACCCUGUAACGUUGAUUGCUGUUGGAAUAUAAAGCUACUUAACACUUAUUUUAAUAAAAAGGAAUAAUUGCAAAAGCUUUGAAGUCAA